GUGCCAGCCGCCGCGGUAAUACGAAGGGUGCAAGCGUUACUCGGAAUUACUGGGCGUAAAGCGUGCGUAGGUGGUUGUUUAAGUCUGUCGUGAAAGCCCUGGGCUCAACCUGGGAAUUGCGAUGGAAACUGGGCGACUAGAGUGUGGCAGAGGAUAGUGGAAUUCCUGGUGUAGCAGUGAAAUGCGUAGAGAUCAGGAGGAACAUCCGUGGCGAAGGCGACUGUCUGGGCCAACACUGACACUGAGGCACGAAAGCGUGGGGAGCAAACAGGAUUAGAUACCCUGGUAGUCC
rnacentral:rRNA from 1 species